CAAGAUUCAGGUGAGUGCCUUC
rnacentral:siRNA from 1 species